rnacentral:rRNA from 1 species
AUUGAACGCUGGCGGCAGGCUUAACACAUGCAAGUCGAGCGAGCGGCGGACGGGUGAGUAAUGUCUGGGAAACUGCCUGAUGGAGGGGGAUAACUACUGGAAACGGUCGCUAAUACCGCAUACCAUCAGAUGUGCCCAGAGGGGAUUAGCUAGUAGGUGGGGUAAUGGCUCACCUAGGCGACGAUCCCUAGCUGGUCUGGGAGGAUGACGAGCAAAACUGAAACGGAGCCACGGUUCAGACUCCUAGGGGAGGGAGCAGGGGGGAAUAUUGCACAAGGGGCGCAAGCCUGAUGCAGCCAUGCCGCGUGUGUGAAGAAGGCCGUCGGGUUGUAAAGCACGUUCAGCGAGGAGGCGUUACUCGCAGAAGAAGCACCGGCUAACUCCGUGCCAGCAGCCGCGGUAAUAC